rnacentral:antisense_RNA from 1 species
AAACUACAAAGGCAAGGAGAAACAGUGACUAAAAAUAAAAGUUAGAGAUUUAUAACCUCAAAAAUACUCCACCUUUUGUAGAGAAGUUAAAAUAGGGCUAAUACUUUAUACAUGCACUAAAUAAUCAAAAUGUGGCGCCAGAAUUUCCAAGUUUUAUUUCGGGAUUAGGAGACUUAUUAAUUUGUUUAAGAAACCUAAAGGCACUGAUAAUAUCUUGGAUAAUAUCCUUAGGGUUUACUAUGCAGGUGAACCUGUAUAUAUAAAGUUUAAUAUUUUUGGAAAUAGAGGAUGGCAAAUGUGAGAUUUUAAGGGUGAGGUUUGGUUUGUCGGUAGAAGCCUGAGGAGGAAAGUUAGCAUUGCGCAUAGGACCACUAUCUUUUCCAGAAAAUAAAUCCUUGUGACAAGUUUUUUCACAAUCUUGAAGGUUAUCUGUGUUAUAAUCGUCUUGGCUGUACCCUUGUCUGCUUUCAACGUAGUUUUUGAAGUCUUUCUUGAUUGUAAAUGCAAUACCAUAAAUUAUUGCGCAUACUGUCAUUUCUAUUGUAAGGAGCCAGUUAUGAAGUUUAAUGGUAUAGUUUGGCUCAUCUGGGUAAAUCCCAAAGUGGCUGAGAACAGAGAGGAUGAUAGAUUGCCAAAAACUCAUAAAAAUUAUAAGUUUAAUGCAAAAGAAUUUAAGUACUGGUCUGAUUGGUGCUAGUUGCUCUGAAAUUGAGAUAUAUAGUAGGAACAGAGAGUAUACUGAAAGAGAAACUGAUAUACUAUUUAAAACUGUAAUGUAUAGAUAUCCUCUCUUGAAUGAAAAUGAUCCAGAUCCAUACAAUCCUAUAGAUUCCAGAAAAAGUGAAAUAAGCGCUGAAAUUGGCUUCAAAAUCACAAAUUGAAGGACUCCUAACUUGAUAAAAGAGUAGAAUCUUGCGAUCUUUAGACGAUGGUUUGCUAGUUCAUCUCCUUGGAACCCGCUAUCAAUAGAAACUUCAUCUAAGUUAUCCUUCUUCUCGCAAAAAUAAUCCGGGCAAAUAUCCAUAAUAUUUACUGAAAUUUCUUCCUCAUUUGAUUCAAUACUCCCAGCUGUUGAGGCCAGCCCAACCAUACUUAGAGAGUGGUUAAAAUGAUGAUGUGGCCAUAUUUCAGCCUUAAUCUUGUUACUCUCUAAUACUGACAAGAUGACUUGGUCACCUCCCAUAUAAAAAAUCAAAAGUUGCAAAAAUGAGAACAUUACAUAUCCUUCAUAGCAGUCUCUUACUAUAUUCAAUGGUGAAGCAUAAUCCACGAACAAAUAUGAUAUAUAUGAUAUUAUUGCAUAUACUGGAAUCAUUGUUAAAAUUCUACAUAUGCACAACUGCAAUUUAGGCUUACAUAGAUUCAAAUACUGGUGCAUAAUGUUAACCACAGAGAUAAUCAAUGUUAAUAGUGUGGCCACACUAGAAACAACCCAUUUCCAUCUCAUUGUUUUAUUCUACAAAGACUCACUUUCUAUUUAAUUAUAGAAACAUACCAAUUUUUAACUUGGUUUACUCUGUCUCCUGAAUAUUUAUUACUGGCUUGUACUCCUUGAUGGCCAAGAGAGUUUUACUCAAUUACUUUAUUUAUCUGAUACGAUAUUUUGCCACUUUCCAUUAAUUUUUAAUAUAUUUUCACUUUU